rnacentral:rRNA from 1 species
UACGUAGGGCGCAAGCGUUGUCCGGAAUUAUUGGGCGUAAAGAGCUCGUAGGCGGUCUGUCGCGUCUGCCGUGAAAACCCGAGGCUUAACCUCGUGGCUUGCGGUGGAUACGGGCAGACUAGAGGUAGGUAGGGGAGAAUGGAAUUCCCGGUGUAGCGGUGAAAUGCGCAGAUAUCGGGAGGAACACCGGUGGCGAAGGCGGUUCUCUGGGCCUUACCUGACGCUGAGGAGCGAAAGCGUGGGGAGCAAACAGG